rnacentral:tRNA from 1 species
UGUAAAGUAAGCUAACUAAGCUUUUGGACUCAUACUUCAACCAUGGGAAUAAACAACUCUCCCCUUUACUA